rnacentral:rRNA from 1 species
UGUCAAGGCGGCCAUAUUAGUCUCCCGUAAAAUCCGUGGGCUCAACCUACGGCCAGCGGGGGAAACGGUAUGGCUCGAGGGCGCAAGAGGUGCACGGAACUCAUGGUGGAGGGGUGAAAUCCGUUGAUAUCAUGGGGAACACCGAAAGCGAAGGCAGUGCACUGGUGCGUUCCUGACGCUCACACACGAAAGCCAGGGUAGCGAACG